CCUACGGGUGGCAGCAGUGAGGAAUAUUGGUCAAUGGACGAAAGUCUGAACCAGCCAAGUAGCGUGAAGGAUGACUGCCCUAUGAGUUGUAAACUUCUUUUAUAUGAGAAUAAAAUGUUAUACGUGUGGGUUUUUGUAUGUACCAUAUGAAUAAGGAUCGGCUAACUCCGUGCCAGCAGCCGCGGUAAUACGGAGGAUCCGAGCGUUAUCCGGAUUUAUUGGGUUUAAAGGGGGCGUAGGUGGUUGGAUAAGUCAGUGGUGAAAUUUCGCGGCUCAACUGUAGAAUUGCAGUUGAAACUGGCAGUCUUGAGUAUAGUAGAGGUGGGCGGAAUGCGUGGUGUAGCGGUGAAAUGCUUAGAGAUCACGAAGAACUCCGAUUGCGAAGGCAGCUCAC
rnacentral:rRNA from 1 species